GACGAACCGUGCGAACGUUGUUCGGAAUCACUGGGCUUAAAGGGUGCGUAGGCGGGUUGCCAAGUUUGGGGUGAAAUCCUCCGGCUUAACCGGAGAACUGCCUCAAAUACUGGCGAUCUCGAGGAAGGUAGGGGCAUGCGGAACUAUGCGUGGAGCGGUGAAAUGCGUUGAUAUGCAUAGGAACUCCGGUGGCGAAAGCGGCGUGCUGGACCUUUUCUGACGCUGAGGCACGAAAGCCAGGGGAGCGAACGGG
rnacentral:rRNA from 1 species